AUGGAACGGAUCAUCAUUCCUUUGGAUCAAUCUGUAAUAACUGAUCUUGGUUAUUGUUAUCCAAUCCCGCCAAUUCUAGUCUUCGGGCUCCUGGGCGUAAUGCAGCAAAAUCCCUUUACACCCGCUAGCUUGCGCUGGUCACUCUCCGUCUUCCCAUCGUCCACCACCCGUUCGACAAAACUCCGCUCAGAACCCGUCCACUCUUCAACCCCACAAAUUUUCACCGUCGUUUCAUCAAAACGGAGCUCCGAACGCUACCUGACGGGGCCCCAGAGAGAUCCCAAGAAUGCAUUGUCUCGGAUUAUAAGGAGAGAGGCCGCCGUUGAAGGCAUUGGGAGGAAAGCAAAGUCCAAGAAGCAGCGUAACAGGCUUUGGCCUAAGGCUGUUCUGGAGGCUCUGGAUGAAGCUAUAAAGGAGAAUUCUUGGGAGUCUGCUCUUGAGAUAUUUGGACUUCUUCGUAAGCAACAUUGGUACGAGCCUAGAUGCCAAACUUACACAAAACUGAUAAUGAUGCUAGGUAAAUGCAAGCAAUCUGAACAAGCCAGUUUGCUGUUCGAAACAAUGCUUUCGGAAGGGCUUAAACCUACCAUUGAUGUCUACACUGCACUCGUAAAUGCAUAUGGAAAAAGUGGCCUCGUUGAUGAGGCUUUUACUAUUGUUGAAGAUAUGAAAUCAGUCUCUGACUGCAAACCUGAUGUAUAUACUUACUCUGUACUUAUUAACUCUUGUAUGAAACUUAAGCGUUUUGAUCUGAUAAGGAGAAUUCUUGCUGAGAUGUCUUAUUUGGGAAUUGAGUGUAGCACUGUUACAUAUAAUACUAUCAUUGAUGGAUAUGGUCAGGCUGAAAUGUUUGAAGAAAUGGAGAACUCGUUGACUGAUAUGAUUGAAAGUGGUGAUUCCCCACCGGAUAUUUUCACGUUCAAUUCUAUUGUUGGGGCUUAUGGGAACAGUAGGCAGAUUGAGAAGAUGGAGAAGUGGUAUGAUGAAUUUCAGCUUAUGGGAAUAAGACCAGACAUCAAGACUUUCAACAUCCUUAUCAAAUCUUUUGGGAAAGCAGGCAUGUAUGAGAAGAUGGGAUCUGUCAUGAAGUUCAUGGGGAAAAGAUUUUUCUCCCCAACGGUUGUUACUUAUAACAGUGUUAUUGACAUAUUAGGGAAAGCUGGAAGGGUUGAAAAGAUGGAAGAAUAUUUUAAGGAAAUGAAGCAUAAAGGAAUGAAGCCAAAUGCUAUCACCUAUUGCUCUCUUGUUAGUGCUUACAUUAAAGCUGGGUCAAUUAAGAAGGUUGAUUUAAUUUUGAGGCAGGUGGAGAAUUCUGAUGUAAUACUAGAUACCCCUUUUUUUAACUGCAUCAUCAGUGCCUAUGGUCAGGCUGGUGAUCUGAAAAGGAUGGGUGACUUGUUUUUGCUGAUGGAAGAGAAAAAAUGCAUGCCUGACAACAUCACUUUUGCAACCAUGAUUCAUGCCUACAACACUCAUGGCAUGAUUGAAGCUGCUCAAAAUUUAGAAAAUAAGUUGAUUAGCACCAACAAAAAUUCAGUUCUGGUGAAGGAGAUGAUAAGGAAUCAUGUGAGAAUGUAAAUGCGAUGGUAAAUAAGGAUGCAACGUUGAAGGUUGAUGGGAACGGUAAAGAUGAUUGUGGACAAUGUCAUGGGAUAUCUCCUGGUGGAAGUCUGAUCCAAGAAACUGCCUUUUCAAUGAUGGCACUGGAAACUUAACUGAAGACAAAACUUCCUUGCAAAACAUGGGAUGUUGCUGGAAAAUUUUUGUACUCCUCAAGUAGGUAAAAGUUCCUGAUUGAUGGAGUAGUGAUCCCCUCAAGGAAAUCUGUCAUUGUGCACGUUUUGGGGAGGUCUGAAGCUGGUGUUGGAGGGACAGGAGCUUGGUGUUGUGUUUUGCAAAAGGUUUGUUGUUUGUGUUGAGCUCUAUACACUCUAUAAUGCAGUUACUCACCCGCACGGAUUAGUCCAGAUGGUAAAGGAAGGAGUUCAUUUCUUUAUCAUUGAGGUUUGAUCUUUACGGAGAGUGCUCCGAGAAUAAAAUCUUGAAUACACUAGAUCUUGGAUUAACAGUGGUGGACUCACCAUCUUUGGAGAUGGAGUCAACUUUAGAUUUCGGAUUUGCCUUGGUCGUGUGGGGUUGCGGCCUUGGUGCGGGCGGGCUGGUCGGUCCAGUCUUUUUCAUUCUUCGGUACAAAAUUGGAAAGGUGGCUCAGGAAUAAUAGAUUGGGGGAAUCAUUCCAUCUUGUGUAAAUCUUAUCCUCAAUCUUGAGUUGCUGAAGUGUUUAUUCUAAUUUUUCUUUUUUGAGUUCUAUUUAAUCGCAUAAAAGAUUACUUUAUUAUC